GCGAAGGUGGCGGAAUUGGCAGACGCGCUAGACUUAGGAUCUAGUGGGUAUUCCCGUGCGGGUUCGACUCCCGCCUUUCGCACCA
rnacentral:tRNA from 1 species